AGCAGCCGCGGUAAUUCCAGCUCCAAUAGCGUAUAUUAAAGUUGUUGCAGUUAAAAAGCUCGUAGUUGAAUUUUAGGUCUGGCCGGGUGGUCCGCCUCCAGGUGAGUACUGUCCGUUGUCGGGUUUAUCCUUCUGGUGAGUCGGCAUGUCCUUUAUUGAAUGUGCUGGGGAACCAGGACCAUUACCUUGAAAAAAUUAGAGUGUUCAAAGCAGGCAUUUGCUCGAAUACAUUAGCAUGGAAUAAUAAAAUAGGACGCGUGAUUCUAUUUUGUGGUUUCUAGAACCGCCGUAAUGAUUAAUAGGGACAGUCGGGGGCAUUAGUAUUCAAUUGUCAGAGGUGAAAUUCUUAGAUUUAUUGAAGACUAACUUCUGCGAAAGCAUUUGCCAAGGAUGUUUUC
rnacentral:rRNA from 1 species